rnacentral:misc_RNA from 1 species
GGAAGUGAAAGUCGUAACAAGGGUUUCCGUAGGUGAACCUGCGGAAGGAUCAUUAUUGGAUUUUGAAACUUCAGGCUGCUGCUGGCUCUCCUCGGAGGGCAUGUGCACGCUUGUUGUCCAUUAUUUCUCCCACUGUGCACAAAUUGUAGACCUUUCAGUAGGCCUAUGUUGUUUUUCACAAUCUCUGAAUGUAAUAGAAUGGUUUUGAAUCUUGGGAAAUACAAUACAACUUUCAGCAACGGAUCUCUUGGCUCUC